CAGCAGCCGCGGUAAUACGGAGGGUGCAAGCGUUAAUCGGAAUUACUGGGCGUAAAGCGCACGCAGGCGGUUUGUUAAGUCAGAUGUGAAAUCCCCGGGCUCAACCUGGGACCUGCAUUUGUGACUGUAUAGCUAGAGUACGGUAGAGGGGGAUGGAAUUCCGCGUGUAGCAGUGAAAUGCGUAGAUAUGCGGAGGAACACCGAUGGCGAAGGCAAUCCCAUGGACCUGUACUGACGCUCAUGCACGAAAGCGUGGGGAGCAAACAGGAUUAGAUACCCCGGUAGUCCCUGUCUCUUAUAC
rnacentral:rRNA from 1 species